UGCUGCCUCUAGGCCGGGUCUCGCGCCCCGCGCGAUGAACUGAGGGAGCCUUGCACCUGGGGACUGUGUGGACUGUGCAGACAUCACGGGUCCGCCAGAGUGCCAGACCGCCGAAGGCACCUGUGGGUGCGACCCUGAGGCCGAGCGCGUGCCGGACGCGGCGGGAGCUCCGGAUGUGGUCAGUUUCAUUCUCUGAGGUUAUCCCGGCGCCUGGUACAGUGUGGGACGUCAUGGGCGCCAGUGGACUCGUGACCGUGUGUAUAAGAUCCAGUGCCUCUUCUGCGGAAUAAAAAGAAUAUGUUGCAUCUUCCUGCAGCAUCGGCUUUACUUGAAGAUUUGGACCGAAGAUUUGUAAUUUAUCCACCAAAUAACUUUGCCUUUUUAUAUGGGGUCAAAUAAACCUUUUCAUAAAGAAAAA